rnacentral:lncRNA from 1 species
AUUUUACUUUGACAAAAAGAUCAAAACUUAACUUUAUUCUUUGGUUAUCUGUAAAACCUAAAGAAUAUACCUAGUUAGUACUGAAUUUACCAAUCGAAAAUAUACAUCCCACUUUUUAUAUUGACUCCUUUCUUUUGAUUAUAUAAUUUGAGAUUACUUGAAAAGCCAUCCUAAAUAAUGUAAAUGGAAAUUGUGAAGCCAUUCAAUAGAGAAUUAUAAGAGACAGCAGUUUGGGAUAAAUUCCAAUAGCCCAGCAUAAACCACAGAAAGCAGUUUGGAUUUAAGUAAUUUUACCAGUGAAAAACCAUGAAUGGUGUAUCAAAAACAAACGUUUGAUUGUAGGCAAAAUUGACAGGAUUCAUUUUAUAAAACAAUACUAUCUUAACCAUUUUUGUUAGAUUUUUCUCUCUGCUAAAAUAUCCCUGAAUUUUUCUUUUGAAAACCCUGUGGAGAAAAGAUUUUCAUUCAUGAUUACAAAUCAGCGUCUAUCUACCUACUUUAAGAGGCAGAAUUAAUGUUAUUUUUGUUAGUGGCCUGCAGUGGCAUUUCACUAUUCUACUCAGUAAGAAUGAAGAGUUGGCUGAAUUUGACUGAUUUAUAAUUUUGAUUAUUUAUAAGUAUUAAACUUGGUAAUAUUUUGUUAUUUUCUAGCAUUGUAUGCUGUAGAUGGGAGAAUGGGAAUAGGACAAAGUAUUUAUACACUAAGGUUUCAGUCUCCUCUUGAAAUCCCUAGAACUUGGACAGCAUCUGAAUCGUUCCAUUCCAGUAUCGGGCUUAAAUCCAUCUGUUUCUUUGGGUAUUUUCAUAGUUAGUUCCAAGAUCCAAGUUAGAUGACUAGGAUGAUCCAGUUAUAAUCUUUAUAUAGAGUACAUUAAACAAUGAUGUUUCCUAAAAACCAAAUAGCCUUUCUUUACAACAAAAAACUAUUUAUAAAUCACUCCUUUACAUUUACAAAUAUUUUCAAGUGCAACUUAAUAUUUAUUUAAUAAAUUGAGAGGGAAAUUACUAUUUUUAAUUACUAUAUGGAAAAUGGUCUGUUGUUUUAUCAAACACAUGAAAACAUUAUUAAAACCAAAGCAUCACAUAUAUUUAUUUAAGACUUGUUGAAUCUAGCCAGGUGCAAUGGCUAAUUCCAGAGAUUCAGGAGGCUGAGGUGGAAGGAUUGAAAGUUCAAAGCCAGCCUCAGCAACUUAGGAAGGCCCUAAGCAACUUAGCCAGAACCUGUCUAAAUAAAAUAUAAAAAGGGCUGGGGAUGUGGCUCAGUGGUUAAGCGCCCCUGGGUUCAAACCCUGCUACCAAAAAACAAACAACUUGCUGAAUCUGUUUUUAUAGGCAUAAGUUUUGCUUUAUGACCAUUUCUUUGAUUCAUGAAUGAAAAAUAUGUUUUUACUGGGUUUUUGACCAUCAGGGUUUUUUUUGGGGGGAUGGGA